rnacentral:rRNA from 1 species
ACCCGCUGAACUUAAGCAUAUCAAUAAGCGGAGGAAAAGAAACCAACAGGGAUUGCCUCAGUAACGGCGAGUGAAGCGGCAACAGCUCAAAUUUGAAAUCUGGCCCUUUCAGGGUCCGAGUUGUAAUUUGCAGAGGAUGCUUCGGCGUCGGCUCCGGUCUAAGUUCCUUGGAACAGGACGUCAUAGAGGGUGAGAAUCCCGUAUGUGACCGGCUGUCUUCGCCAUGUGAAGCUCCUUCGACGAGUCGAGUUGUUUGGGAAUGCAGCUCUAAAUGGGAGGUAAAUUUCUUCUAAAGCUAAAUACUGGCCAGAGACCGAUAGCGCACAAGUAGAGUGAUCGAAAGAUGAAAAGCACUUUGGAAAGAGAGUUAAAAAGCACGUGAAAUUGUUGAAAGGGAAGCGCUUGCAACCAGACUUGCCCGCGGAUGUUCAGCCAGGCUUCUGCCUGGUGUACUCUUCCGCGGUCAGGCCAGCAUCAUUUUGGGUGGUUGGAUAAAGGUUCCGGGAAUGUGGCUCCCUUCGGGGAGUGUUAUAGCCCGGUUCGGAAUGCAGCCAACCUGGAAUGAGGUCCGCGCUUCGGCUAGGAUGCUGGCGUAAUGGUUGUAAGCGGCCCGUCUUGAAACACGG